rnacentral:rRNA from 1 species
AUUGAACGCUGGCGGCAGGCCUAACACAUGCAAGUCGAGCGGAUGAGGGGAGCUUGCUCCCUGAUUUAGCGGCGGACGGGUGAGUAAUGCCUAGGAAUCUGCCUGGUAGUGGGGGAUAACGUUCCGAAAGGAACGCUAAUACCGCAUACGUCCUACGGGAGAAAGCAGGGGACCUUCGGGCCUUGCGCUAUCAGAUGAGCCUAGGUCGGAUUAGCUAGUUGGUGAGGUAAUGGCUCACCAAGGCGACGAUCCGUAACUGGUCUGAGAGGAUGAUCAGUCACACUGGAACUGAGACACGGUCCAGACUCCUACGGGAGGCAGCAGUGGGGAAUAUUGGACAAUGGGCGAGAGCCUGAUCCAGCCAUGCCGCGUGUGUGAAGAAGGUCUUCGGAUUGUAAAGCACUUUAAGUUGGGAGGAAGGGCUGCUGGUUAAUACCCUGCAGUUUUGACGUUACCAACAGAAUAAGCACCGGCUAACUUCGUG